rnacentral:rRNA from 1 species
UAUGGAGAGUUUGAUCCUGGCUCAGGAUGAACGCUGGCGGCGUGCCUAAUACAUGCAAGUCGAGCGAACGGAYGAGAAGCUUGYUUCUCUGAUGUUAGCGGCGGACGGGUGAGUAACACGUGGAUAACCUACCUAUAAGACUGGGAUAACUUCGGGAAACCGGAGCUAAUACCGGAUAAUAUUUUGAACCGCAUGGUUCAAAAGUGAAAGACGGUCUUGCUGUCACUUAUAGAUGGAUCCGCGCUGCAUUAGCUAGUUGGUAAGGUAACGGCUUACCAAGGCAACGAUGCAUAGCCGACCUGAGAGGGUGAUCGGCCACACUGGAACUGAGACACGGUCCAGACUCCUACGGGAGGCAGCAGUAGGGAAUCUUCCGCAAUGGGCGAAAGCCUGACGGAGCAACGCCGCGUGAGUGAUGAAGGUCUUCGGAUCGUAAAACUCUGUUAUUAGGGAAGAACAUAUGUGUAAGUAACUGUGCACAUCUUGACGGUACCUAAUCAGAAAGCCACGGCUAACUACGUGCCAGCAGCCGCGGUAAUACGUAGGUGGCAAGCGUUAUCCGGAAUUAUUGGGCGUAAAGCGCGCGUAGGCGGUUUUUUAAGUCUGAUGUGAAAGCCCACGGCUCAACCGUGGAGGGUCAUUGGAAACUGGAAAACUUGAGUGCAGAAGAGGAAAGUGGAAUUCCAUGUGUAGCGGUGAAAUGCGCAGAGAUAUGGAGGAACACCAGUGGCGAAGGCGACUUUCUGGUCUGUAACUGACGCUGAUGUGCGAAAGCGUGGGGAUCAAACAGGAUUAGAUACCCUGGUAGUCCACGCCGUAAACGAUGAGUGCUAAGUGUUAGGGGGUUUCCGCCCCUUAGUGCUGCAGCUAACGCAUUAAGCACUCCGCCUGGGGAGUACGACCGCAAGGUUGAAACUCAAAGGAAUUGACGGGGACCCGCACAAGCGGUGGAGCAUGUGGUUUAAUUCGAAGCAACGCGAAGAACCUUACCAAAUCUUGACAUCCUUUGACAACUCUAGAGAUAGAGCCUUCCCCUUCGGGGGACAAAGUGACAGGUGGUGCAUGGUUGUCGUCAGCUCGUGUCGUGAGAUGUUGGGUUAAGUCCCGCAACGAGCGCAACCCUUAAGCUUAGUUGCCAUCAUUAAGUUGGGCACUCUAAGUUGACUGCCGGUGACAAACCGGAGGAAGGUGGGGAUGACGUCAAAUCAUCAUGCCCCUUAUGAUUUGGGCUACACACGUGCUACAAUGGACAAUACAAAGGGCAGCGAAACCGCGAGGUCAAGCAAAUCCCAUAAAGUUGUUCUCAGUUCGGAUUGUAGUCUGCAACUCGACUACAUGA